UACGAAGGGGGCUAGCGUUGCUCGGAAUCACUGGGCGUAAAGGGUGCGUAGGCGGCCCUUUAAGUCCGGUGUGAAAUCCUGGAGCUCAACUCCAGAACUGCCUUUGAUACUGAAGAUCUUGAGUUCGGGAGAGGUGAGUGGAACUGCGAGUGUAGAGGUGAAAUUCGUAGAUAUUCGCAAGAACACCAGUGGCGAAGGCGGCUCACUGGCCCGAUACUGACGCUGAGGCACGAAAGCGUGGGGAGCAAACAGG
rnacentral:rRNA from 1 species